AACGCAUGGAGGGGCAGAGGUUGGAACUGGAUUAACAAAAAAAAAAAAAACAUGUCUGAUGAUCUGAUUACGGACUGGCACCCAAAAAGACCUUAUAUUGGCCUUUUCAUUCUCACAUGAAUUCUAGUCAGCAGCAACCGCGUCUUUGGAUGGACUCGCCGCUUCACUGAGAUGCGCGCAGUAGAAUCUCCGGGGCUCAGCAGAGGAGACAGCAGUUUUCAAAGUUAUUGAAAUAUUUAAAAACGCCAUCAAAUCAUUUUGUUCCUUUUUACAUAUUUGUUAAGACGUUUGAGACUUGUAACUUCAGGCAGAGAUGGUUGAGGUUUUUUUUUUAAAGUUAAGUUAACAAAAGGAUGAUGGUCUAUGACGCGUUUUUCUUUAAGCCAAGUGUCCUUCUUUUUCCGGCAAUGAUUGUGUUUCUAAUCAUCGCGUGCCUUACGGAUGAAGCGUUUUCCCAGAUCCGCUACUCUGUCCGAGAAGAGGCGGAUCGCGGCACGUUGGUGGGGAAUAUCGCGGAGGAUCUGGGGCUGGACCUGACCAAAGCGGAUUCCCGGCGGUUCCAGGUGGUGCCCAGCUCCAGAACCCCGUACCUGCAGGUGAACCUGGACACCGGGGCCGUGUCGGUCAACGAGCGGAUCGACCGGGAGCAGAUCUGCAAGCAGAGCCCCAGCUGCCAGCUCAACAUGGAGGUGUUCCUGGAGAACCCGCUGGAGCUGUUUCGGGUGGAGAUCGAGGUGAUGGAUAUAAACGACAACCCGCCCAGUUUCCCCGAGACGGACAUCACGGUGGAGAUCUCGGAGAGCGCGACUCCCGGGACGCGCUUCCCCCUGGAGAGCGCCUUCGACCCGGACGUGGGCGCCAACGCUUUACGCACGUACGAAAUCACCACCAACAACUUUUUCCACCUGGACGUGCAGACUCAAACGGACGGGAACAAGUUCGCGGAGCUGGUGCUGGAGCAGCUGCUGGACAGGGAGCAGCAGGCCGUGCACAGGUACGUGCUGACGGCGGUGGACGGCGGCGCGCCGCCGCGCACCGGCACCGCGCUACUGCGCGUAAAGGUUCUGGACUCCAACGACAACGUGCCGGUGUUUGACCAGCCCGUGUACACGGUGAGUCUCCCCGAAAACGUACCUGUGGGGACUUUAGUCAUACAACUGAACGCCACAGACCGAGAUGAGGGACUAAAUGGAGAAAUCGUGUAUUCCCUCAGUAACCACGUCUCCACGCGCGUAAAGGCGCUGUUCGGCAUCGAGCCGCGCACCGGCCGCCUGGAGGUGCGCGGAGAGGUGGAUUUCGAAGAGAGUAGCUUGUAUCAGAUCUUCGUGCAGGCCAAGGAUCAGGGUCCGAACGCCGUGCCCGCGCACUGCAAGGUCUUGGUGAAAGUCGGGGACGUGAACGACAACGCGCCGGAGCUCAGCUUCAGCACCGUGGUGGACGCGGUGGGCGAGGACGCGCAGCCCGGCACCGUGAUCGCGCUGCUCAGCGCCACGGACCGGGACGCGGGCCAGAACGGGGACCUCCACGUGGAAAUCCUCGGAGACGUCCCGUUUAAGUUAAAGUCCUCCUUUAAGAAUUACUUCACCAUCGUGACGGACGGGCCUCUGGACCGGGAGCGGGCCGACUCCUACUCCGUGACGGUGAUGGCGAGGGAUAAAGGAACUCCUGCUCUCGCAACCAGCUCCUCAAUCCGCGUCCAGGUCUCAGACGUGAACGACAACGCGCCUGCAUUCACUCAGUCUGUAUAUGACGUGUAUGUGACUGAGAAUAAUGUUCCUGGGGCGUAUAUACACGCCGUGACAGCUCUUGAUAGUGACACUGGACAGAAUGCACUCAUUAAUUACUCCAUCAUGGAUUGUGACAUCCAGGGGAUGUCAGUCAAAACGUAUGUGUCGAUCAAUGAGGAGACGGGAUACCUUUAUGCUCUUAGGUCCUUUGAUUAUGAACAGAUCAAGCAUUUCACAUUUAUGGUCCAGGCAAAGGAUGCAGGUACUACGGAGCUGUCCUCCAACACCACGGUCAAAGUGAUCAUUGUAGACCAGAAUGACAAUCCCCCACUAAUGCUCGCUCCUGUAGGGAAGAAUGGAACAGCCAAGGAGCUCCUCCCUCGCUCCGCUGAGCCAGGAUACCUGGUGACCAGACUAGUGGCGAUGGAUGCAGACGACGGUGAGAACGCUCGCUUGUCCUACAGCAUCCAGAGGGGGAAUGAGAACGGCAUGUUCCGGAUGGACUGGAGGACGGGGGACCUCAGGACUGCAAGGCGGGUGUCAUCUAAACGGGACACUCACCAAUUGUACGACUUGCUGGUGAUGGUGAGAGACCACGGCCAGCCCCCGUUGUCCUCCAGUACCAGCGUGUUGGUGAUGCUGGUGGACAGUGUGGCUGAAGGCCAGGGCGACAGGGACAAAGUAGGCCCAAACAAAGCCACGGAUAACACCCUGGACCUCACGCUUAUCCUCAUCAUUGCCCUCGGUUCUGUCUCCUUCAUCUUCCUCCUGGUCAUGAUUGUGCUGGCGGUGCGCUGCCAGAAGGAUAAGAAGUUCAACAUUCACACCUGCCUGGUCAGCGACUGCUGUCUGGACUGCAGCACCUCCUGCUCCAAGCAGGACCGGUCCCGGAAGAAGAAGCUCAGCAAGUCGGAUAUCAUGCUGGUGCAGAGUAACGUCCACGUUAGCGGGACUGGUACGCCGCAAGUCCCCAUUGAGGAGUCGGGGAGCUUUGGCUCCCACCACCAGAACCAGAACUAUUGCUACCAGGUAUGCCUGACUCCAGAGUCUGCCAAAACCGACCUCAUGUUCCUGAAGCCAUACAGUCCGUCUAGGAGCACAGACACCGAGCACAACCCCUGUGGAGCCAUAGUGUCAGUGUACACAGACCAGCAGCCGGACAUCAUAUCAAACAGCAGCAUUUUAUCUAAUGAGACCAAACACCAGCGCACUGAGCUCAGCUACCUGGUUGACAGAUCGAGACGUGUUAACAGUUCAGCCUUUCAGGAGGCCGAUCUGGUUAGCUCCAAAGACAGUGGCCAUGGAGACAGCGAGCAGGGGGACAGUGAUCAUGACGCCACUAAUCGAGGCCAUUCUUCUGCUGUGGAUCUAUUCUCUAACUGCACGGAGGAGUGUAAGGCUCUGGGUCACUCUGACCGCUGCUGGAUGCCAAACUUUGUGACCUCUGAAGGGCAACAGGGUCUAGACUACCGCAUCAACCUUCACGUCCCCGGCAUGGACUCAGUCCCAGAUACGGAGCAUCUGGUACAGCGUCAAAUUGAUGAGGCCAUACUGAUGUUGGAGGACAGCUAGUGCAUACUCUUGUCUCAGCCAUGCCACAUCCUCAAUCUCUCGAAUGGACAUUUGGUCACCAUAGUCUUGAGCAAAGAAAAGAAUGUGCUUGCUCCUUCUGUGUGGACAUAACAGAAACUGCCUGACACUUCAUUUUCUCACCUACAACCAGCUGUAAAAAAGGAGAACAUUUUGAGGAUAUUUUGUUCUCCCUGCCUUCAUCCCUCUUUACACAGUAAAAAUUUAAAAUAAAAUGACAGCUGGCUGAACAAAAUCAGGAAAUAUCUCCUGAAGGACGUCAAUAAUUACUACUGUUCUUGAGGUACUUUGAACACACCAUCCUUUAGGAAAAAACCCCUACUCCUAAGAUUUAGUGGCAGUUGGACACAAGACAAAGGGGAUGGGAUCAAUGUUGGAAGUCAGUUAAAUGGAUAGCUUUACUAGGAGACCCGUUUUUUCCUCAGUGGGACUGGGAAUCUGACAGAAGAGCAAGAACAGUGAUUGCAGAGACUGAGCACAUGUCCUUCUGUUCUUUUCCAGUCUGUGUUCACCCGUUUACAGCACUGAUGCACACAUCUUUUGCAACAAUAAGCCCUGAUGAGGACUACAUGCAAAGAAGGAAAUGCAAAUUCAAGCGAAAGCGACCCAGAGGAACAAGUCUUGCAGCUUUUGUACUUCAAUGAGACGUCAAAUUGUACAGGAGAAUCUUUGUGCAUUUCAUGAUGCAAUACUGUGUUUAAGAAUGUUUUUAUUCCACUCUUGUGAUCAGGUGUGUAUAUUGAAAUCUGUUGUCUACUAUGAACCUUGUUUUCUUAUUUUUAAGGUCAUUUUUUCCUUUCUCAACACAAAGAGGACAGUGCCUGGUCCACACUUUUCUGAGUCACCAUAUUUUGUUUUUAAUAUGUCAGAAUUGAUUACUCUUAAGAACUUUCAAGCUCAAUGUAAAACUCAAUAUAAAUCCAUCUAUAUCUACUUGUCCAGAAAUAGGUGCAAUUUGUUUCUGAGGUUCUCAUUCUUAUUUGAAGGCUUUACUGCAGAAAGUGCAGAUGAUAUAUAUAUAUAUAUAUAAUUUUGUUGAUAUUUAUUGUACCUCUGUUUUGUUGUAAGUAAUAACUUGAAAAUUAAUUUAUAAAUAAAGGAAAUGCAAAAAAAAUUGUACGCAAUUAAGUUGGAAUACAUAAAAACACAUAAUUAGCUAACAAUAAACUGAAUGAUGUUAAACAAAUGUCCUCUCUGUUUUUAAUCUACCACACAGACGCCCUAAAGAAAAAAACGUUUACGCUGGCUUGUUUGAAAUAGGUUUUGCUUCUCUUGUUCACAGUUGAAGCCUUUUACCUUGUAGGAAAAUAUUACCUUGUUAUCUCCAGUCAUCUUUUAGUGGUCCACUCACUCUGGUACAAAACGCAGCUACCCGCCUUCUUACUGCAAGCGUGACCACAUUUCCGCUGUCCUAGCUGCGCUGCACUGGCUCCCUGUUGCUUUUAGAAAAGAUUUUACAUUUUCAUUGAUUGUUU